rnacentral:rRNA from 1 species
AUGAUGGGUGAUGCAGUGACCACCGUGACCAAGAUUGUGGAAAUUGUGAUGAAGAUCAAGAAGGCUGCAGACAUGGUGAAGCAGAAUGAGGAUGUCUGCAAGCAAAUACAAAGCCGCGUCGAGAUACUCAGUAGUACGUUAUCACAGUACCAGGAUAACGAGGAGCUAAUGGACAACUGGGGGGUGAUGCGCACGCUUGAGGCGCUGGCCGAUGUCCUUGGUGAGGCCUUGAAGCUCGUCACGGACUGCCAGGAGGCGGACACCAACUUCGUGUGCCUUUUCUACAACGCUGGGAACCUGUCCCAAGAGUUAAUCAAGGUGGAGCAGCGUAUAUCCAAUAAGAACAUGGACGCGAUGUUUGCCAUCAUGGCCUUCCUUUUACCGAAACCAACUACGCCAAGCAGUGUUCGUCCUACAGCCCAAGAGCGACAGGUUUCUCCUGUCGGCAGACAAGAGCCUUUUGAGCUCCAAGAAAUGCAACCACCAUUUCCGGUCCAACAGAUGGGGAGACGAAAGCAAGAUGGAGGUGAUGGGGACGUUACUUACGACAAAUGUCUUUAUCCUGACCGCAGAAAAGCGCCUUUGCAGUACCCAACAAUACAACCACCAAAUCCGCCCCUACAGAUGUGGAGACAAAAACAAAAUGAAGAUGACGUGGAUGUUCAGAGUGACAACUCAUAUACUCGCUAUUUUGCCGGAGUCAGGGCCGAAGCGCGGAAAGAGUCUUACACAAGGGACAUCCAAUGGGACUCCUCAGUGGACGCUCUAUGUUCGUGUUGUGCAAUGGUGAAAAGGCGUACGCCUGCUCGCAGACCGUCAUCUGCCCCCAUUGGUCAACAGAGGAGCCAACUAUCCGCAAAAAAACAGAAGAGCCAACUACAACAAAUAGCUGGAGUAGCUCUCGACAUCGAAGAGGCAGCAGAGACUGUUCUUCAGAACACAGAGGCUUGCAUUGAGAUUGAUAAACGUGUUAGUACAGUCAGUGCCCUCCUAUCGAAGCUCGAGAACACAGAUAUGGUGGAGGAACAAGCGAUGAAAGAUGCCCUAAAUAAGCUCCUUGAGAUCUUCCGUCAUGCCCACGCACUCGUCAUGGCUUGCCAGAAAAGCGGCCUUGUCACCAUGCUCUUCUGCAACCCGCCAUGCAUACUGUCCAAACAGCUAAGUGAAGUAUUGGAUCAAUUGGUGCCUAACAUCAACGCUUUGAUUGCAGUCAUUCUCAACAGCUGCAACGUCCGUGCCCGCAGAUACAACCGUACCAGAAAUGCCCGUGCACCACCCCGAGCAGCAACAAAUAUUCAACCAGCAAGGUAA